rnacentral:rRNA from 1 species
UAGGGAAUCUUCCACAAUGGGCGAAAGCCUGAUGGAGCAACGCCGCGUGAGUGAAGAAGGAUUUCGGUUCGUAAAACUCUGUUGUAAGGGAAGAACAAGUACAGUAGUAACUGGCUGUACCUUGACGGUACCUUAUUAGAAGGCCACGGCUAACUACGUG